rnacentral:misc_RNA from 1 species
GACACGUUUAACUGAAAUAUUUAGUUUUAGUUUUAGUUCUUAUACAGUUGAUUUAAAACAAAAUUUGUAAAGAGAGAUCUUUAUUAAAGAUUAAUUUGAUUUGAUUUAUCAUUAUUGUUUGGAGCAAAUUCAGAGGUCUUUUUACAUCAAUAAUUUAAAAGCAUUUGGAAAGCAAAAGGCAUGCAUAAAAUUUUUUUUAAUCUUAAAUACAAUUAUAAUUUCGUAAUAGUCUGAUAAAAGAUAUAGUAUUAACAGUAACCUUAAUACCAUUACAUACAAAUAUUUUUUUAACAAACCUAAUUUCUUUUAAAUUUCAGGUCAUGCCUAGAGUUUAUAAAAGGAAAAGUGAAACUCCACAUGUUUCAGAAAACAUUUUGAAGGUUGCUGUAGCUGAAGUGGAAAAUGGGAUGAGCCUUAGAGAAGCAGCAUGUUCAGCUGGCAUUUCUAAGUCUGCACUUCAUAGGUGUAUUAAAAAAAAGUGUCAAUACCAAGCUGCUAAUCUUCAACCAAAUUAUCAACACUAUAUGGUUUUCUCUGUUGCACAAGAAGAAACACUGAGUACUUAUCUAAAGACAUGUUCUGAUAUGUUAUAUGGUCUUACACCAGUUCAAGUAAGAGCUCUAGCUUUUGAAAUGGCUCAGGCAAACAAAAUAAAAUGUCCCAUGCGUUGGAUAGAGCAAAAAAAGGCUGGUCGAGAUUGGUUAACAGGAUUUUUAAAAAGAAACCCAAAAUUAUCUGUUAGAAAACCAGAGGCAACUUCAAUGGCAAGACCAUCAGCAUUUAAUCGGUAUACUAUUGAUAUUUUCUUUAACAAAUUACAAGAAGGUAUAUCAGAGUCUAAAGCAACAUCGUUUGAAAUUUUUAAUCUUGAUGAGACAGGUUUUACUACUGUACAAAAAACUCCUCGUGUCAUUGCAUCAAUGGGAACAAAGCAAGUCGGGCAAAUAACAUCUAGAGAAAGAGGUGAAUUAGUAACAGUGUGUUGCAUUGUCUCUGCAGCUGGUGUAGCAAUACCCCCUGUUAUUGUUUUUCCAAGAAAAUUAUUUUGAAACCCACUAAUGAGAGGAGCACCAGAAGGUUCUAUUGGAUCAGCCAAUCAAUCUGGAUGGAUUUUGUUAAGUUUGCUCGUCCAACAGCCGAUAACAAAGUUUUAUUGAUUAUGGAUAAUCAUGAAAGCCACCUUUCACUACAGUCACUUGAAUAUGCAAAAGAGAACCAUGUUUGUAUGAUGACUUUGCUACCACAUACUUCACAUAAGACACAACCUUUAGAUAGGUCUGUUUUUGGCCCAAUGAAAACAUAUUUUAAUGCAGCUGCCAAUAGCUGGAUGCUUAGCAAUCCAGGAAAAGCCAUUACAAUUCAUGAGAUGGCCAGUCUCAUUCAACAAGCAUGGGAAAAAUCAUUCACACCAACAAAUAUUAUGUCAGGAUUUCGCAUGACCGGAAUUUGGCCUUAUGAUAGACAUGUAUAUUGGGAUAAUAUUUUUUUACCAUCAGUUGUAACAGAUAGAGAUGUGCCUCAAGAAUCAUACAGUGAAGGCUCAUGUGAGAAAUCAAUUACAACUGCUACUCCUUCAGAUAUCUCAGGUUUGGAUGCGCAACAUGAAGCAGUAAAAGAAAACUUAACUGUAUUUUCUCCUGAGAUUGUACGAGGUUAUCGAAAGGCACCUUCUCGUAAGAUUUUAUGACGUGGACGUAAAAGGGAAAGUAUAUGAUAGCCACAUCAACACUUGAGAUUUUAAGAAUAAAAGAUGAAGUAUUAAAUAAAAAAAAAAUAAAAAAAUUGUCUUUCUAAAAUCCAAAAAUGUGAGGAAAAACAUGUUAUGUAAAUCGAACAGUGACCUUGACGUAGAUUUCAACAAAAUAACAAAUGAUGUUUCUGCUAAUUGUUACUCACUAGAAUUUGAAGAAGAAUUGGAAACUGUUUCUUUAAGCACUAUUCAAAAUGUCAGUGAUUAUGUUCUUUGCGAGAUUUGUAGUAAAAACACCAUUUCUUAUUAUGUAGGCAUAGUGCAGAAAGAAAUAGACACAAAUUUUAAUGUAGAGGUCAGCUUCCUAAAAUGCCAGAAUAAAAAAACUUCUAAAUUUGUCAAACCUAGAAUUAAUGACAUUCGUAGUGUGAAUAUUAAUGAUAUAAAAGCAGUCCUGCCUCAACCGCUUGCUGGAACAACAUCAAGAACAAAAGUUGAAAUCGUUUUCCAAGUAAACUUUGGCAUCUUAAAUGUAAAAUAACUUUUUUCUUUUUUUAACAUAGAAAUUUUAAUUUUUUAAAUGUAAUCUUAAUUUGAUGGAAAAAGGCAUUGAUAAUUUGA